GCCAUGGACGAGCAGGCGGGUCCCGGCGUCUUCUUCAGCAACAGCCACCCGGCCGCCGGCGGUGCCAAGGGACUCGGGCCUCUGGCGGAGGCUGCCGCGGCCGGCGACGGGGCGGCUGCGGCGGGGGCGGCCCGAGCCCAGUACAGCCUCCCGGGGAUCCUGCACUUCCUUCAGCACGAGUGGGCCCGCUUCGAGGUGGAGAGAGCCCAGUGGGAGGUGGAGCGGGCGGAGCUGCAGGCCCAGAUUGCUUUUCUUCAGGGGGAAAGGAAAGGUCAAGAAAAUCUGAAGAAGGAUUUAGUGAGGAGGAUCAAAAUGCUGGAAUAUGCUCUUAAACAAGAAAGAGCCAAAUACCACAAGUUGAAAUAUGGGACAGAAUUGAAUCAGGGAGAUAUGAAGCCUCCAAGCUAUGAUUCUGAUGAAGGUAAUGAAACAGAGGUACAGCCACAACAAAACAGCCAGUUAAUGUGGAAACAAGGUCGACAGCUACUCAGACAGUAUCUACAGGAGGUGGGUUACACAGAUACUAUCCUAGAUGUGAAAUCUAAACGAGUGCGAGCUUUGUUGGGCUUUUCAAGUGAUGUCACUGAUAGGGAAGAUGACAAAAAUCAGGACUCAAUUAUAAAUGGCACCGAAGCUGAAGUUAAAGAAGCAGCAAUGAUUGGAAAAUCUGAGUUGACAGAUUCUGCCUCCGUGCUGGAUAAUUUCAAAUUCCUUGAAAGCGCAGCUGCAGAUUUCAGUGAUGAAGAUGAUGAUGAUGAUAUUGAUGGAAGAGAAAAAAGCAUCAUUGAUACGUCAACAAUUGUUAGGAAAAAAGUACUUCCUGACAGCAGUGAAGAUAGAGAUACAAAAGAAGCUCUAAAGGAGUUUGACUUCUUGGGUGCAUCAGAUGAAGGAGACAGUGAAUCUAGAAGUGCUGGCGAUGGCACUGAUUGGGAAAAGGAAGACCAAUGUCUCAUGCCUGAAGCUUGGAAUGUGGACCAGGGAGUAAUUACCAAACUCAAGGAGCAAUACAAAAAGGAGAGGAAGGGGAAAAAGGGGGUGAAGAGGCCCAACAGGUCAAAACUCCAAGAUAUGCUUGCUAAUUUGAGAGAUGUUGAUGAACUUCCCUCAUUGCAGCCAUCUGUGGGUUCACCCUCCAGACCCAGCAGUUCCAGGCUUCCUGAGCAUGAAAUAAAUAGGGCAGAUGAAGUGGAAGCGUUAACAUUUCCUCCUUCUUCGGGAAAGUCGUUCAUUAUGGGAGCAGAUGAAGCUCUUGAAAGUGAAUUGGGACUUGGAGAGCUGGCAGGCCUUACUGUGGCCAAUGAAGCAGAUUCAUUAACUUAUGAUAUAGCAAACAAUAAAGAUGCAUUGAGGAAGACAUGGAAUCCUAAGUUUACUUUAAGAAGUCACUUUGAUGGCAUCCGAGCCCUUGCUUUCCACCCCAUUGAGCCUGUUUUGAUAACAGCAUCAGAAGAUCACACAUUAAAAAUGUGGAAUUUACAGAAGACAGCUCCAGCCAAAAAGAGUACUUCUCUUGAUGUAGAACCUAUCUAUACGUUCAGGGCUCAUAAAGGUCCAGUGCUGUGUGUGGUAAUGAGCAGCAAUGGUGAGCAGUGUUACAGUGGAGGUACUGAUGGACUGAUCCAGGGCUGGAAUACCACUAACCCCAACAUUGAUCCUUAUGACUCUUAUGAUCCUUCUGUUUUAAGAGGCCCUCUGCUAGGCCACACAGAUGCAGUCUGGGGCUUGGCUUAUAGUGCAACACAUCAGCGUUUACUAUCCUGUUCAGCAGACGGCACUCUGCGUUUAUGGAGUACAACUGAGGUUGCUCCAGCCCUAAGUGUAUUUAAUGAUAAUCAAGAACUUGGAAUCCCUGCCUCUGUGGAUCUAGUGAGCAGUGACCCUAGCCAUAUGGUAGCAUCAUUCAGCAAAGGAUAUACAAGCAUCUUUAACAUGGAAACACAGCAACGUAUUCUCACUUUAGAAUCCAACCUAGACACAACAGGCAACUACUACUUCCUGUCAGAUUAAUAGAGUCAUCAGUCAUCCCACUCUUCCUAUCAGCAUCACUGCUCAUGAAGACAGACACAUUAAAUUCUUUGAUAACAAUACAGGCAAAUUGAUCCAUUCGAUGGUAGCCCACUUAGAAGCUGUUACAAGUUUGGCAGUUGAUCCAAAUGGCCUGUACUUGAUGUCUGGCAGUCAUGACUGUUCAAUCCGUUUAUGGAACCUAGAAAGUAAGACGUGUAUCCAGGAGUUCACAGCUCAUCGGAAAAAGUUUGAAGAAUCAAUUCAUGAUGUAGCUUUCCACCCAUCCAAAUGCUAUAUAGCCAGUGCUGGAGCUGAUGCACUGGCUAAAGUCUUUGUAUGACACAAUGCAUCAUCUUCACCUUCUAGCUCUUUUAAUCAGCUGCACAAAAGAAAUACAGAAGACCCAGGCCAGGAGUCACCUCGUCUUGCCCUUUUGUUCUGCCGAAGGAGCACAGAGAACAUUUGUUAAAGUAUAGUUUUGCAAUUCAUAUACUGUUUUCUAAAACUAGGAUUUGUUCAGGUUGCUGCAAGCUCAGCUGAAUUUGUGAGCCUCAAAACUCUUUCUAAUUUCUCCUAAAUGGGCACGUUUCUCUGAGGUGGUUCCAAUUCGCUAGGCCGGCCUGUGCGAAUAAGUUUGGUUUGUCCCUGUUGAGUAAAUAGGGCACUGUAUAUGCGAUAGUUAAAGAGCUUGAUGGCUGGGGAUGAGUAGAAGAAGAAUGAAAACUUCUCCCCUGAGAAAUCUUGUUAAACACAUUA